CAGAAUGAACGCUGGCGGCAUGGAUUAGGCAUGCAAGUCGAACGUGAAGCCCGAGCUUGCUUGGGUGGAAAGUGGCGAAAGGGUGAGUAACACGUGAGCAACCUGCCCCCGACUUCGGGAUAGCCCCGGGAAACUGGGAUUAAUACCGGAUGCGGUCGGAUUUCCACAUGGUGAUCCGUUCAAAGAUUGAGUUCGGUCGGGGAUGGGCUCGCGGCCCAUUAGCUAGUUGGCGGGGUAACGGCCCACCAAUGCUGAGACGGGUAGGUGGUCUGAGAGGAUGGUCACCCACACUGGGACUGAGACACUGCCCAGACUCCUACGGGAGGCUGCAGUCGAGAAUCUUCCGCAAUGGGCGCAAGCCUGACGGAGCGAUGCCGCGUGAGGGAUGACGGCCUUCGGGUUGUAAACCUCUGUCAGAGGGGACGAAAUUUGACGGUACCCUCAGAGGAAGCCACGGCUAACUACGUGCCAGCAGCCGCGGUAAUACGUAGGUGGCGAGCGUUAUUCGGAUUCACUGGGCGUAAAGGGUUCGUAGGGGGUCUGCCAAGUCUGAUGUGAAAUCCCGCGGCUCAACCGCGGACGUGCAUUGGAUACUGUCGGACUUGAGUCCUUGAUGGGAAAGCGGAAUUCCAGGUGUAGCGGUGGAAUGCGUAGAUAUCUGGAAGAACACCAGCGGCGAAGGCGGCUUUCUGGCAAGUGACUGACCCUGAUGGACGAAAGCGUGGGUAGCGAACAGGAUUAGAUACCCUGGUAGUCCACGCCGUAAACGUUGUGCACUAGAUGUGGGGGGUCCUUUGGUCCCUUCCGUGUCCAAGCUAACGCGAUAAGUGCACCGCCUGGGGACUACGGCCGCAAGGCUAAAACUCAAAGGAAUUGACGGGGGCCCGCACAAGCGGUGGAGCAUGUGGCUUAAUUCGAGGCAACGCGAAGAACCUUACCUGGGUUUGACAUGCACCGGACCGUCCGUGAAAGCGGAUUUCCCUUCGGGGUCGGUGCACAGGUGCUGCAUGGCUGUCGUCAGCUCGUGCCGUGAGGUGUUCGGUUAAGUCCGGCAACGAGCGCAACCCAUGUGGUCAGUUGCCAGCAGGUCAUGCCGGGCACUUUGGCCAGACUGCCCGUGUCAAGCGGGAGGAAGGCGUGGAUGACGUCAAGUCCGUAUGGCCCUUACGUCCAGGGCUGCACACGUGCUACAAUGGUCGGUACAGCGGGAGGCAAGACCGCGAGGUGGAGCCAAUCCUCAAAGCCGGCCCCAGUUCGGAUCGGAGUCUGCAACUCGACUCCGUGAAGUCGGAAUCGCUAGUAAAGGCGUACCAGCAACGACGCCUUGNAUACGUUCCCGGGCAUUGUACACACCGCCCGUCACAUCAUGGAAGCUGGUUGCACCCGAAGUCGUCGGCCCAACUUUUCGAAGGGGGAGACGCCGAAGGUG
rnacentral:rRNA from 1 species